CGGCUGUCUCUAGAAGACCAUUUGACGGCCGUCUCCAGGAGAGCGUUCUACCAGGUUCGCCUGGUACGCCAGUUGCGCCCCUUUCUGGACCGGGAUGCCCUAUGCACGGUCACUCACGCACUCGUGACGUCUCGCCUGGAUUACUGCAAUGCUCUCUACAUGGGGCUCCCCUUGAAGGGCAUCCGGAGGCUGCAGUUAGUCCAGAAUGCAGCUGCGCGGGUGAUAGAUGGAGCCCCUUGUGGCUCCCGUAUAACACCCAUCCUGCGCAGACUGCACUGGCUACCUGUGGCCUUCCGGGUGCGCUUCAAGGUCUUGGUGACCACCUUUAAAGCGCUCCAUGGCAUUGGGCCGGGUUAUUUACGGGACCGCCUACUGCUACCGAAUACCUCUCACCGACCCGUGCGCUCUCACAGAGAGGGUCUCCUCAGGGUGCCGUCAGCGAGGCAAUGUCGUCUGGCGACGCCCAGGGGAAGGGCCUUCUCUGUGGGGGCUCCCACCCUUUGGAACGAACUACUUCGUCAGCUUCCGGACCUUCGGACCUUCCGCCGCGGGCUUAAAACAUACUUAUUUAAUUGUUCAGGACUGAGCUAGAUUUUAAAUUUUUGGGUUUUAAUUGGGUUUUAUUUGUAUAUUUUAAUUAACGGGCUUUAAAAUAAGUUUUUUAAUUGUUUUUAUUCUGUAUUUAUAUGUUUUUAAGCGCCUGUGAACCGCCCUGAGUCCUUCGGGAGAUAAGGCGGUAUAUAAAUAUGAUUAAAUAAUAAUAAUAAUAAUAAUAUAUUUCUGCAAAAUAACUCUCAUAGCAAAAUAUUUAGGCAAGGUUCUAUAUUGUCUAACUAGAAAAAGGACUAAAUGCACAAAUAGCCAAUUUCUUUAGAUUGCUUCUAUGUUGCUAUGGAAUUUUCUAGCCUGUGUGGCCUUUUCUUAUGUAAAGGCUUCCAUUUGGCAAUUCAAAUAUAUAUAUAUAUAUAUAUUUCCUGCUGUGAAAGGGGUCUUAGGUGAAAGAGAGAAAUCCUUUUCCUGUACUCCUCCUCCUUUUCAAUCAAAAACUCAAAUGGUUUUGCUUUGUAUAACACAUUGUAUCCUCUGAAAUAAUAGAUUUCUUAUAAAAAAAUAAACUGGGAGUCAACCUUGACAAUGAAGCAGAAAAGAGGGAGGGAGGGAAAAAAGUAAAAGAAAAAAUGUAGAUCACAUAAUGGUGUUUUGAACUACAAUUUACAGUGAAAAUAGUGAAAUAGAAUAUAAUUAUGUCCUGCUAAAAGUGAAAUGAGAUCGAUCAUAAUCCUUUAGAAAGUACAUUUAAAUCCAUUUGUAACAUUUUAAAUGUUGUGGUCAAUAUGUACCAGGACACUAUAAUAGAAAAUAACUUAAAUAUUUCAUUUAAAAAAAACCUAAUAUAAAACCAAUUAAGACAAAGAUUGCAACAGAUAAAAGAAAUGGUUUUUCCAGCAGUAAUAUAUGCCAGUGAAAGCUGUUCCCUGAGAAAAAAAAAUGAGGCAGAGAAGAAAUUUCUUUGAAUUAUAGUUUUGCCAACAGUUACAUUAUGGAAUUCAAACCCUAUCAAGCAAUUGGUACUGGAAAAAAUAAAGAUUGACUGUUCCUUUGAGGUGAUCAUUAGUUAGCAGAAUUCACAUAAUUCAGGCAAGUGAUGCAAACUAAAAGAGAAAAAUUCUUGGCAAGGUUGAAGGAAAGUCAAUUGAUCAGGGGUGGAUGGAACUAUCAAUUCCUGACAGAAGAGAUCAGGUAUGUCUCUAGAACAGUGGCAAAUUAUUAGUGAGGACAGUUCAGGAUGGACAAUAUUUUUCUGUAUGGUCAGUGUCAUAUCUGAUUCAGAUAUGACUUAACUAACCUUCAUAAUAUCAGGUUAGCAAAGUCAUAAAUCCUGUGCAAAGUUUUCUGCAGUGGGGUUCUUUGCAUUAAAGACAUUUGUAAAGAUAUAACAUUGAUCCCCAAUAGUCAGGGACAGCUAAAUUUGGUCUAAUUUGAAACAUAUUUAAAUGAUGCCUAUUAUAUGAUUUCUAUUAUCUACCUAUAUUUAAGUAAUUUUUCUUCCAUCAAGUUAAACUACAGUUUGGACAUAGUUUCUACUUCCAAGGCCUGAUACAAUUCUAGAGACUUAUGUUAUAGAUUACUGCUGCAAUUUUGAAUUCAUGUCCUCUGGCCAUAUUGGAAAUUAUGGAAUCCUGAGUAUUGAUUUUUUUUAAAAAUUAUGAUGAAAGUUGUUUCUUUUGUUUCUGUGAAGUGUUUGUCUAAUACAAAGCAUUUGACAAAAUACUACAUCAUGAAGGCACUUCAGUAUGUUUUAGUGUAUUAAAGAAUAACAGAAUAUCAGAGUUGGAAGGGACAUUGCAGGACUUAUAUAGACCAACCCCUUGGUCAAGCAGAAGACUCUAACAACUCUGGACAAUGGCUGUCUAAUCUCUUCUUAAAAACCUCCACUGAUGGAGCACUCACAACUUCUGAAAGCAAACAUUUAUCAUGACAGCAAAGUUUUCAUGAAUCAGCUACAUAGAAUUUCCGGAAGUAUUCAUUUUACUUAGUACAAAAAGAGGGAUAAAGAAAUGAUAAAUGGUAUGAAGAAAUGGCAAUGAAAUGUUUAAAAAAAUGCAGAAAAUGUGUAGCAUUGUUAAGCAGGUGUGUGGCCUGAGGAGAUCCAAGAUCUGUCAAGUCCAACAGAAGAAAUUAUUCAUAAUUGAAGUACUGUAAUAAAUUCUGCCAGUUCAUACCAUAAUUCCCAGAUAGGUUCUACAUAUAUAAAAGACCAGUAGGGAUUUUCAGUCUUAUAAGGAAUCCCAAAAUGUUUAGCAUAUUUAGUUCAGUGGUUUUUUUUAAGGAACAUUUAUCACGAGAACUGUAUGUAUGGUAUAUAUUCUUACCAUUGUAAAUAUUUUAGUCCCUCGAGGUCACUUGUGCCACUUGUCCUUCCUUUGUAUUUAAAACCAUGGUGAGAAAAUGCCAGAAAUCUAGUUAUUUGCUGAAAUUGCUUUCACAAUGACUUGUGAAACGUGACCUGAUUAUAGAAAUUGUUCUGUUUUGGAAACAACACAGGAAAACAUCAAAAAUGCAAAGAUAGUAGGAAGUAAAAACAGGAGAAAGAAACAUUAGCUACACAGUCUUGUGUUCCUGUACUAUAUAUAUAUAUAUAUCUAAUAAAUAAAUUUCAUCUUUCUGGUACCUUUCAUUUCUUUUGGACUACAUACCCAGCAGAAUUGACUGUGAAUAAUGAGAAUUGAUAAAUUCCAAAGAUUGAUAAAAACCAACAUAUAUAAGAGCACCAGUUGGGAAAGCUGAAUUAAUUAAUUGGUCAAUAUGCUGAGUGGCUACUAGCAUGCAAUACUUAAUCUAUUACCAGGUAAAGUUUCAGAAGCUAGAAAUCAUCAUGAGGAGUGACUAAAAAAUCAUUUUUUUUUCUUUUUGCAUAGACUUGGAAUAGUAGAUUAGUAACUCACAGGAAUGAUGUUUUUCAAAGACUGGAGGGAUAGGGUGAGGUUUGAUUCCCCUCUCCCAUUUCAUGAAACAGUGUCAUAGGGUCAAAUUUUAGUAGGAUAUUUCCCAUCUAAAAAUAGUCAAAAACUGUGCCAUUGAUUUUUGCCUGUAAAAUAUUCGAUUUCAGUAUGUGGUAUAAGGGAGCUCCAGGGAAUGCAAAAAACAAAAACAAAAAACAAUAAAAGCUUAUAAUGCUUUUUGUAUUUCUUGUCUUCUUCUCUGCUAGAUCAUUGUAUUCCACAAGGGGGGGAGGGGAGCUCUUUACUGCUUUAUAUUCAUUAAAUCCAUUCUGAACUAGCAAUAAUACUUUGACUAUUACUAUGGAACAUUGGUUCCAGUGUUGGAACAGUUCCCUAUUACCUUCCUCCCACGCUGAAAAUAGGGGGAAAAAGGAAGAAAGGAAGUAGAUAAAGAAGCUGCCUUCAUUCUUGGCAAUAAGUAGCAUCAUAAUUAACAGGACAGGCUGUUCUGUGAAUUUCAUUUGCAGGUAAAGCAUGUGCUCAAAUAUGAGAUUUUCUCGAGAUAUUAUCCAAUAACGUCUUUCAGUGAGACAUCAAGAGAGGGUUGAUAAUGCUGCCAGAAGUACAGAUUCAGCUCUUCUGUUCUGGUUAGUGGACAGCCUAAUCCUUUGUUAAUAAGUGUUAUUUGAAGAGGAAUAGCUUUCACUGUGGAUUAGCUUUCACUCUCUCUUAGCUUCUUUGUUUUCCUCCCCACAUACUGUGUUAGUGGCAGAAAUGAGUUGGAAGGUCCCUCUGCCCUCUUGUUAAGAAUAUCAAAUUGAAUCUCUUAGAUUCUGGCACAAAUCACUUACAAUCUUAUUCCUAAAGGCAUAUACAGAUGGAGAUGCCACAGAGAAGACGUAUCUGCUUCUGUUUUUCUGACUAUAGGUGAAUAUUUCUGAAAAGGAAAUAAAGAAUUUUAUGUAAGACCAGGUAUAGGUCUAGUUUCAAGUUACGUUGUUGAUGUUUUAGUUUUUGUAACUUGCAGUGUAACAUUACAGUGUAAGAUAUACUUGGUAAACAUGCCAACAAAAGUUUCAAAUACUUGCACACAUAACUGUAAAUAUUAAUUGUACAUUUCAAAGUAUUGUAGUAAUUUAAUCUUCCUAAGAAGCUCUCCCAUCCUAAUUUUAGUACUCCACUACUGCAACAAUGAAAGGAGUUGAGAGAAAUCUUCUAUCCAUUUGGAACCAUCAAUAUGCUGGUCGUAUUUAACUGUAUAUCUCAUUCCUGACUGCAAAGGUGAAAAUGUCUGUCCCAGUGUCUGCAAACUGUUUAGGUCUGGAUAGGAAGGAACAGUCUCAGGCUUAAUUCCGACUACACUGAGCGGACCUGGGACUGUUUCGGAUCUCUAGAUUUGGGAUGGUUUUAACUUGUAGACCUGGAAGAGAUUGCACUUCCCCAUUCAAGGGGAUCCUCCUAGAUUUUCAGAUACUGCUGGUGUGACAGAAAGCUGUAGGCAGGACUUUUGCCCACAGUUCUUCUAAUUCACUAAUUCCGUCAUUUAACUGACCAACAAAGAGACCUAUUUAGAUGGUCAUUCAUGCACUGAUAAGGCACUCUACAUGGGCUGUCAUUAAAAACCAAAUGGAAGCUACAAUCAUUCCAAAUGCAUCAGUGCAAGCUGUAGUGCCCAUCAUGUAACCUCUGCUUGACGAGCUGCACUAUUACCAGUUGGCUUUCAAUUGCAAUUUAGGUUGUUGGUUGUCAUCUAUAAAGCCCUUCAUGGCACAGGGCAUGGUUAUUUGAAGGAGUCCUUGUCUCUAAUAAUUUCUGCCUUUCAGGUAUGAUCAAACAGAGGAGGUUGUACACCCAGAGUGUCGUCAGUUAAAGAUUGUCAUUUAUCAGAACCAAGGAAGUAUACCUUCUCUGUCAUAGUGUCAUGCUCUGCAAUAUUAUCUCCCCAAG